rnacentral:rRNA from 1 species
CAGUCGAGGGGCAGCAUGGUCUUAGCUUGCUAAGGCUGAUGGCGACCGGCGUACCGGUGAGUAACACGUAUCCAACCUGCCGUCUACUCUUGGCCAGCCUUCUGAAAGGAAGAUUAAUCCAGGAUGGCAUCAUGAGUUCACAUGUCCGCAUGAUUAAAGGUAUUUUCCGGUAGACGAUGGGGAUGCGUUCCAUUAGAUAGUAGGCGGGGUAACGGCCCACCUAGUCAACGAUGGAUAGGGGUUCUGAGAGGAAGGUCCCCCACAUUGGAACUGAGACACGGUCCAAACUCCUACGGGAGGCAGCGGUGAGGAAUAUUGGUCAAUGGGCGAUGGCCUGAACCAGCCAAGUAGCGUGAAGGAUGACUGCCCUAUGGGUUGUAAACUUCUUUUAUAAAGGAAUAAAGUCGGGUAUGCAUACCCGUUUGCAUGUACUUUAUGAAUAAGGAUCGGCUAACUCCGUGCCAGCAGCCGCGGUAAUACGGAGGAUCCGAGCGUUAUCCGGAUUUAUUGGGUUUAAAGGGAGCGUAGAUGGAUGUUUAAGUCAGUUGUGAAAGUUUGCGGCUCAACCGUAAAAUUGCAGUUGAUACUGGAUGUCUUGAGUGCAGUUGAGGCAGGCGGAAUUCGUGGUGUAGCGGUGAAAUGCUUAGAUAUCACGAAGAACUCCGAUUGCGAAGGCAGCCUGCUAAGCUGCAACUGACAUUGAGGCUCGAAAGUGUGGGUAUCAAACAGGAUUAGAUACCCUGGUAGUCCACACGGUAAACGAUGAAUACUCGCUGUUUGCGAUAUACGGCAAGCG